rnacentral:rRNA from 1 species
CCUACGGGAGGCAGCAGUGAGGAAUAUUGGUCAAUGGACGAGAGUCUGAACCAGCCAAGUAGCGUGAAGGAUGACUGCCCUAUGGGUUGUAAACCUCUUUUAUAUGGGAAUAAAAUGUUCCACGUGUGGGAUUUUGUAUGUACCAUAUGAAUAAGGAUAGGCUAACUCCGUGCCAGCAGCCGCGGUAAUACGGAGGUUCCGAGCGUUAUCCGGAUUUAUUGGGUUUAAAGGGAGCGUAGGUGGAUUUUUAAGUCAGUUGUGAAAGUUUGCGGCUCAACCGUAAAAUUGCAGUGGAAACUGGCAGUCUUGAGUCCAGUAGAGGUGGGCGGAAUUCGUGGUGUAGCGGUGAAAUGCUUAGAUAUCACGAAGAACUCCGAUAGCGAAGGCAGCUCGCUGGACUGCAACUGACGCUGAGGCUCGAAAGUGUGGGUAUCGAACAGGAUUAGAUACCCGAGUAGUC